UUUUCUCUUUGCAGCACUCCCCCCAGGACCGGGAGUUGUCUAACUACAGCCUGGAAAAAAUGCAAAACAGACAAAUGCACCCUCGGGGGACAGCGGGAGAAAGCUAAUAGACCAGUCCCCGAAUCCCCACCCACGGAGGUGGUUUAGGUGGGAAGCAUGAUGUGUUUGUCAAGGGGGACCCAAGGCUGCCUUCCUACUGAUUCUCUCCCGCCUUGGGCCGCCUCUGCUCAGCCGGCGGGGAGGAAGUCAGGUGCUGAUGUUCCAGAACAAGCUCUGCCACCCAGAGGCUAUGUGACUUGGGCUAAGCCCUUACCCUCCCGCACCUCAUUUGCCCCAUCCACGCCGCAGGGGUGUGGCCCAGAUAAUUUCAGACUGCGUGAGGCUCUGCUGAGGGCCCUGAAGCUGUUGGGGACGGCCAAAGUGCCACAGAGGUGACUCUACCACCAGACUCCCAGACUCCUGGAUCUGAGCAGACACUGAUGGCACUACUGAGGGCUAAGCACGUUCGAGAGGGGCCGGCAAAGAGGGACUGAACCCAAUCCCGGCUUCCAGAAGUUCCCACCAGGUGGAGCUCGAACUCACAACCCUAGGACCAAGAGUCAUAUGAUCUUCCGGCUGAGCCAGCCAGGCGCCCCAGAGAAGGUAACGUUUGAAUACAGACCUGAAGGGGAUGACAGAGGGAGCCAUGAGGAGAUCUGGGGGAAGAGCAUUCCGGCAAAGGACACAGCGCACGCAAAGGCAUUCCUGAGGCAGGAAUGUGGCCGGUACAUUUGGGGAACCAGAAAAGGACAGAAAAGGAAACUGAGGUUCAGAAAGGUCACACAGCCAGUGAGUCAACCCAGGCUUCUCCAAGCCUGAAGCCCGAGUUCUUCACACUCCGCUCCGGCGCCUGCCUGGGCAGGAUUCCAACAAGGAGGAUAUCUAGCCACAGACUCCCAGAAAUGGGGAACUAAGUCAGGACACUUACCCGCUGAGAAAUGUCCCUAAAAUGCCAUCUUAACCAUGCUUUCUCUUUCCAUUAAAGCUCAAAUGAUA